rnacentral:sRNA from 1 species
GAAAAAGGAAAAAAAAACC